UCAUUUAUGUUCUUCCUCUCUGUGGCCUGCUCCAGGGACUAGCUCCAAACAUUCAGUACUAAAACCCAAUAAUGGGGGUGGUUGCAGUAGUACCAAUAGUACUAAAUUGGUGAAGAAAUGAGUAAUAAGGAUAGUGACUUCUUCCUUUUAUCUCACGGCACUGCCAGGUAGCAGCACUAGGCACACUCAGCACAUUUGUCCCAGGUCAAAGCCAGCCCUGCAGGGUUCGGCUCUGUGGCAGCCCAUUACGGCAGCAGGUAACAAAAAGGCAAGGUCACUGUCUGCCUGUUUCCAAUGUGUGAUCAUAGUCUUCAAGAGACAUCUCAAGACAGCAAACAUCACUGUUACCUCAAGACAUAUCAGGAAGUAUCAGAUUUUUGUCUUCUUGUCUUCUGGAAUGUGUGUCUGCAUAGCAGUUUUCUCUACUCCUUUUUGUAAGCUUUAUAUGGUUUAAACAUCUGGGCCUUCUGAGUCGUUCCAUGCCUGCUUGCCUUAUUAGAGAGUUUGGUGCUGGAGUUCUCCGACUGAACGCCAGAGUCCUUCCCUUUGUUUUUCACAGUGACGUACACGAGAACUUUGAGGUGGUGUAAGAACAGAGGGAUUCGUGGCUAAUAAAUACUUCAUCUAAAUGGUUCCUAAAGAAGACCAGAAGUCUAUCAAAUCGCAGCCCACUGACUCCCUUACUACUUACCAAGAGAGCUAUAAUCACCACUCCUGUCCAUGGGCUAAACAGGUCCCUUCCUGGUGAAGAAGUGGGACGUAUAAGACCUCAGGGCAAAUUACAUUAGAAUUUCAAAUGUUACAAAUAUUUGCAUGAAUGCUGUUCAUCUCACCGAUUUUAAUUGGAAGCCUGAUCAUCUGAAUGUUAAACCCUCAGUGCUUUGCUGAGCUGGGGCUUAUUUUGCUGCCUUUCCUUUUUCAUCUUCUUUCAGUAAUAUUCCAGGACAGAGGGAUACUUGAAGAACAAAAAGAAAUUUCCUGCAACUGCUCUGUUUGGCUUUCCUCUACUCAUUUUCAUAACAAUACUGGGACCACAGGGUUGCACGGGGUGUGUACCCACUAUAUCGUCUUCCUUGCACAGAAGGACGCUGAGACACUGGUUUGUACAGGUGGGUAGGAAGAUAAAUUCCUUUUAAGUAAACUCUUCAGAAAGUUCAGGUUGAACUUCCAGAGCUUGAACUUGAAGAUGGUGAUAGGAUUUGCCCUUUUUCUACACAGUUUCCAGAAGGACAAGAUGUAAUUCUUUCAUCAAAUGGCACAAAUAUGGAACUAAAUUGUCAUAUCGGCUUCAGAUCACCUAGGCAAAUUUCAUCUUUAGAGAGCAUAUUUUUCACUAAUGAAGAAGAAAGGCAAGGAAGAAAAGGAGCUGAAGUGGGAAUUUACAGGAAGAGCGUAAGCGAUGGCUUUGCUCCUCUGUGACUUCAGAGUUGUUUUUGUUAGUGGCAAGGGAACUUUUGCAUGAAGCAAAAAUGACCAGGGAUGCAGAUAUUCUUAAAGAACAAGAUAGGUGUAUGGACUAAAGUGUGUACUAACAACCCUGUAUUUUGGUGCAGGAAGAACCAGGAACUACCCCACCUCUUUUGCUACAAUACUGGAAUCUGCUGAGGUUAAGGUACAUCUAGAUGCAUUCUCAAUAGUUAUAGCUGUUGUAUAGUUUGCAACGGAACACAUCAAAUUAGAGCUACUGAAGGAGUUACUGUCCUCAGUCCUCAGUAGGACUGGACUGUGAAAGCCCCUAUCCCAAUGUAUAUUUUACUUUAACUGGAGUAGAGGAUUCAAAACAUUAUGACUAGUGUCUUCCCAAACCCUGCGUUACCCACAGAGAGAAGCAUAUGCAGAAGGUGCUAUUGAAGUUAGCCUUAAAAAAAAAGACAUUACUGCUUUCAACAAGCAACAAAAAAAAUAACCAAGUAAAACUAGAGGUAAUGUUCUCAUUAAUACAAAAUCCCUUUUAUUCCUAGGUCUGUCAAGUUUUCUGAAAGCUCUUUUAGAGAUGGGUAGAACUGAUCUGUAGCUGGCUGGAUUUGAGGGGAAUGUUUGUUCUGUAUAUCUGCGAACGUCUUGCAGCCAAGAAAGAUUUGAUUAUUUGAAAGAGAAAAAGGAAAAAUUAAUUUUAAGUAACCUCCUAAAAUAAAAUUUCUUGCUACAAAAGCUCUCUUCUGACUCCCUACUGUGAACACAGCAGGGACACAUCUAACUACAGCUGCCCUGCAUGUAGAUUGUGUUAGCAUAACUCACCCACACCCAAAGGCAUACAAAACUAUUUCCAAGGCUUUUGCCUUGUGCUGGCAUUGUGCCAUCUAGGAGUAACAGCCAAAAGGAAAAAUUCCUUUCAGUGACAUUCAUUGACAUAAGCCAGAAACAAGGUAGAAAGAUAUGCUUUUCCCUCCUUCAUUCUUGUGAAGUUAGAGGCAGUGCCGAUUUAAACUGUGACUGAGGCUCUGCAAUGAUGCAAGUCUAUCUUACUACUUCAAAUUAAGUGAUGCAACCUGAGUUUACAUUAAUUAACUUUCAAGGAUUCAACCAAUUUAAAGCUUUUGGACAAUGACAGUUAUUUGAAAACAUUCCUACAGGUUUAUUUUCCUCAUUUACAUUUGUUUCUUAUCUCCGUCUCAUUCAAAGCAGACAGGACUGGUUUGCUUCUCUCUUCUCUGGAAAUUUGCAUUAGGAACCAUUGUUAGAAUCAGAAUCCUGAUCUAAGAGUAUGAUGAAAAAUGCUGCAUUCCAAGCUGGAAAUUGGAGAGGAAAAUGUUCAUGUAUAUGUAAAAAUUGUACUCAAACAACUGAGGUAAACCUUUUAAGGGACUGCAACCAUCUUGCUAAGAUGGUUAGCCAAGUGUACCAGAACAGUAUGUUCUCUUACUGCAACCCUGCAGUUGCAUGGGAUGCAAACCUGUGUGCAUCCCGUGUCCCAGAUCUGGUCGCCAGGAAAAAUUUAUUGUAAGGAACCUCCUUAAAUAAAUUUUCUUGCUUCAAAA